CCUACGGGUGACAGCAGUGGGGAAUAUUGCACAAUGGGCGAAAGCCUGAUGCAGCAACGCCGCGUGAAGGAAGACGGUUUUCGGAUUGUAAACUUCUAUCAAUAGGGAAGAAAGAAAUGACGGUACCUAAAUAAGAAGCCCCGGCUAACUACGUGCCAGCAGCCGCGGUAAUACGUAGGGGGCAAGCGUUAUCCGGAAUUACUGGGUGUAAAGGGAGAGUAGGUGGCAAGGUAAGCGAUAUGUGAAAGCCUUAAGCUUAACUUAAGGAUUGCAUAAGGAACUAUCUAGCUAGAGUACAGGAGAGGAAAGCGGAAUUCCUAGUGGAGAGGUGAAAUUCGUAGAUAUUGGGUAGAACACCAGUGGCGAAGGCGACUAUCUGGCUGUACAUUGACGCUGAGGCUCGAAAGCAUGGGGAUCAAACAGGAUUAGAUACCCGGGUAGUC
rnacentral:rRNA from 1 species